rnacentral:rRNA from 1 species
GACGAACGCUGGCGGCGUGCUUAACACAUGCAAGUCGAACGGAAAGGCCCUGCUUUUGUGGGGUGCUCGAGUGGCGAACGGGUGAGUAACACGCGAGUAACCUGCCCUUGUCUUUGGGAUAACUUCAGGAAACUGGGGCUAAUACCGGAUAGGAGCUCCUGCUGCAUGGGGGGGGUUGGAAAGUUUCGGCGGUUGGGGAUGGAUUCGCGGCUUAUCAGCUUGUUGGUGGGGUAGUGGCUUACCAAGGCUUUGACGGGUAGCCGGCCUGAGAGGGUGACCGGGGUCCUUAGGCCUACGGGACGGAGCAGACGGGUACGUGCCGCAACAGGCGAGAGUCUUGCACAGCGGCGGCACGUGAGAGGUGGCGGCGCUGCGUGCGUGAAGACGGGUUUUGGGUGAAGAACCGCUUUCGACGUAGACAUGGCCGGAGUGACGGUAAUGGGUAAAGAAGCACCGGCUAACUACGUG